GUAGAGAUAGUUCCUCAACCGGAGAUGAAGCACCUGAGGUAUAUCAUCACACCAUCUCAAGAGAUCAAUAGUAUUCCUACUCGGAAUCUCAUCAACAUCCGACAUUAUCAACAGAUCAUCAUCCGAUAUCCCUGCAACUUUGAUAAGCUGGUCCAAAGCAACUCGCUGGUACGCUUCCUCAACAAAAGGAUUCUCACCCUUCUUGAACCUCCCACCAAUGGUGCCAU
rnacentral:lncRNA from 1 species